GAUGAACGCCAGCGGCAGGCUUAACACAUGCAAGUCGAGGGGCAGCGUGAGGAAGUAGCAAUACUUCCUUGACGGCGACCGGCGCAAGGGUGCGUAACGCGUGAGCAACUUGCCCGUAUCUGGGGCAUAACCGGUGGAAACGCCGACUAAUUCCCCAUAACAUAAGAUAAGGCAUCUUAUUUUAUUGAAACUAUUUGGGAUACGGAUAGGCUCGCGUGACAUUAGGUAGUUGGUGUGGUAACGGCUCACCAAGCCUACGAUGUCUAGGGGAACUGAGAGGUUAAUCCCCCACACUGGAACUGAGACACGGUCCAG
rnacentral:rRNA from 1 species